rnacentral:misc_RNA from 1 species
UGUACACACCGCCCGUCACACCAUGGAAGUUGGUCACGCCCGAAGUCGUUACCCCAACCGAGAGGAGGGGGAUGCCUAAGGUAGGACUGAUGACUGGGGUGAAGUCGUAACAAGGUAGCCGUACCGGAAGGUGUGGCUGGAUCACCUCCUUUUAGGGAGACCUAAUCCAUUUAGAAAUCGAAAGCAGUGAAAAUUGUGGGUAGAAACUAAAUUGGUCUAACCUAGGUCGGUCGCAGACUUGAAGUAAAGCUUUCAAACUAUGAUUUGGUUCGAUAAGGGCUAUUAGCUCAGGUGGUUAGAGCGCACCCCUGAUAAGGGUGAGGUCCCUGGUUCGAGUCCAGGAUGGCCCACCUGAAGGAAGUCAAAAAUCAAAAGUCAAAAGUCAAAAUUAAAUAUUUUUGAAGCAUGACUAGAAAUUUUGAGUUCUUUUUGGGGGUUUAGCUCAGUUGGUAGAGCGCCUGCUUUGCAAGCAGGAUGUCAGCGGUUCGAGUCCGCUAACCUCCACAUUGGAAAAAAAACAGCACCUAACUAUAAAAGUUAGACUGCUGGGGGAAAUUCCAGCCAGAACCUUGAAAACUGCAUAAGAGAACGAGAAAAGGCAGGCAGACACAGACAUUUGAAUGGAUGUGAAAGCAAAGAAAAAUUGUGGUCAAGCUAAUAAGGGCUAAUGGUGGAUACCUAGGCACACAGAG